GCUGUGAUCGUAUAGUGAUUAGUGCUCUGCGUUGUGGCUGCAGCAACCCUGGUUCAAAUCCGGGUCAUGGCA
rnacentral:tRNA from 1 species